rfam:Cephalotus follicularis DNA, scaffold: scaffold6444, isolate: St1.
AAACCAUGAUGAGGACACUCUAGGAGAAGAUCCUUAAAACGUUCCAUACACCUAGAAAAUGAUUCAUUUGGUUUUUGAUGAAACUUGAGAAUGUCGUUCCUAAGUUU